rnacentral:hammerhead_ribozyme from 1 species
ACCCAGCUGACGAGUCUCAAAUAGGACGAAAUGCACGUUAUCCUAGAU